GUAUAUGCCUAUAAAAUGGGUCUUCUCCUUCCUGACGGUCGCUGCCUCGCCUCCUCGCCCUACCGUCCCAUCUACCCCACCCUUCCAACCUCGAUCUUCUCUCCGUGUGGAGCUGGUGGCAGACGUACGGCCGAGGAGAUGAAGCAACGGCGGCGUGCCACCGCCACCUCCGAUGCACAGCGGCCACGGCACCAUCGGCACAAGAUUCGCGUGGGCAGCCCAGCCGUCGAGCAAGAGAGGCCUACCAACGACCGGCCAGAUUAGAGCCUCCGCUCAUCUCCGGUCCGUCAUCGUUCAGUUCCCGUGACCCGUGCACCGACGGAAGACCCUGGCCCCGCCUCCUCUGAACGUCGCAGUUCUUCUCCACGAAGAUUGUGCCCUUCAUAGUCUGACGGGGCGGUCACUGUUGUCAACAUCUUCGUGCUCUUCCUUCACGAGGAAAAUAGCAGAUGGUGUCGUCCAUGGCGUCGUCCCCAGCUCUAGCACGUCGGAGAUGACGGGCCACCAGUCAACACGAGCUCUACCAUGGUUUAUGGCAAGGAGAGGAGAAGUGGUCGUUCGGGUUCUGCGAGAAUGACAAGUGCAGGUAACUUGGAAAUUCCGGAUUUCGGUCUUCAUAUUUACAUUCGAGAGGAAAAGAAGUGUUGCACGGUCAUAUUUUAUUUCAGAGUUAAUAUUCCAUAAUUGUAUGAUGAACUGAACCUGAACAUUGAAAGUGGCACUUGCAAUACACUAAUUUUCAGUUUUGCUUGAUACUUUAUGAAAGAAUAUGUUGGCGGACAUGGCAAUACAGUUUCAUGUCGACAACCACUCCAACUGGAGUAUCCGUGGAAGUAAGAAUAUAGUAAACUGUCUGGGCCUCUGGUUGUAGUUAGUGUCAUCUAUAAUAUGCUUACGCUUCAUAUAUCAACUAAUUAAAUGUUGCACUGUUGAUCUAAAAAAAAGUAGCACUGUAUGUAAGUAUUGCAGGUUCAUGUACACUAUUGCUUGAUAAAUUGGUGGCAAAUAGCUGUGUGAGCUUCAUUUGGUCAGGUAUUUUUUUGAUAUCCUACUUUCAUCUGGUAUAACUGCAUGGGAUGUAAUUGGUUACUGCAUUUUGCAUGACAUACUUUAUUACUGUAUAUAUUACUUGUAUUUUUUUUCCUUAUUGCUUCUGUGCUAUUGAUUCCGGCACAGCAAAUUUUAUUUUGUUCUCUGGCGCAAAACCUUAACUUGACCUCUUGAUUUAUCAAGCUAUCCAGCUACUGUCUUAUAUAUUAUCACACAAGAUUUCAUCAGACCCCGAUGGUUUUAGUUUGUCAUGAUGGUUGGCGAAGUAGCUUCUGACCAAGCUAUACUAUGAUGAGAGUAAAGUCAACAUUUUUGUUGUUGCAAGGAUCACAGAGAAAGGAAUCACUAUUCAAUAGACAGUAGAUUGAUCUUUUGUAGCAUCUUUCUUAUAAAUUAGUUUGGUUCAUAAUCAGUUCCUCUUUCCAGGUUCUUUCGACUGCAUGAUACAUGAGACAUGGAUUCCUAAGGAUUGUUCAAGUGCGUUCAGUGUUAACGGAUGGAAUACAGAAUAGCCUUGACCACAAUGAGCAGAAGAAGUACAAUAUGGGCGACUGCAGGUACCUCCCCAGGGACACAGCUACUACCGUCACUGUUGAAAGAAUAACAGUUGUGCUGGAAGGUCCUUCUUGCUUGCUGUGUCUGCCUUCUCAUCUUAUUUAUGAUCGUUUAUGUGAAGAAGCAACAGCAACUUGAUUUGUUUUCUUGUGUAGUAAUAUGUGAGUUGCAUUUGCAGACAUAUAUGGGUCAAGUCACUCUCUGUUAGUUAGAUGUUAUUAGUGUUUUUCUAUCAGACAUGGUUCUGCAAUGGGCUUGACUGCCUAAGUCUCACUCAGAUUUUAGACUUGAUUAAUAACUGCUUCCUUCCAUUAAGAUGUGAGGUCCUGAUCCCAAUGACAGAGCAUCAUCGCUGAACUAAUGUUCAUGAGAGUUCACUGUUUGAUUUUGUUGAACCAUGCAAGUUCAAAAUUUGAUGAAGCCAUGCAACUGGUAGAUGCUUCAACAAGGCAUAUAUUUGCAGUGUUCGGCUGAGGAGAACACAGAUGCACGGCCAGCUGCGCGGAUUAGGCGAUGGAACCAAUAACAGGAGAAAGGACGGAAAAUAGGAAGGAGAUGGUGAGAUUGGCAUUGGGCAGUCGUUUGCAAAUGUUUCAUGGUCGGAUUAGGCCCAGCUAAUCAAUUCUUUUUGGGCAGCACUAGAGAAUUGAUGAAUGCAUGCUGUACAAUUUUCUAUGAUCUUCUCUGAUUUACUAACAAAUGUGAAAUGUUGAUCAACUAAUAUUUGAGAUGUAAAUUGAUAUUCAAUUGUAGAAAUUGAUAUAUGUACUUCCUUCA